rnacentral:rRNA from 1 species
AUGCCUUCUCUCCCCCUCGAUCCCCAUCUCCUCCUCGCGCCAGCCGCCCGCAGCUCGCCGGCUACCCCAGAGCCGCGCCGCUCGUUCCUUCCCCUCGUCGACCUCCUCGAGGCCGACCCCGCGCGUUGGCGCAUCGACGACCUCCGCGUCGCCCUUGCCGUCGGCGUCCCAUCCGUGCCGCUUCGCCAAGUCCUUGUCGGCCGAGCGCUCGAGGAGAGGAGCUCCUCGAGCACCUGCGCCCUCAUCCGUCGUCCUCCGCGCCAGCAGGAGCCCCGCGCUGCUCGUCCCCUCCGUUUUGGCUGGAGUUCGUUGGAGCCCAGCACCGGCCGCCUUGCACCCGCGAGGACCACCACCUCCAGCGCGCCUCAAGCCUCCUCCUAUGCGCCUCCACCCUGGUUCCUGCCACGACGACCCAUCCCCGACCUCCUCGUGUGCCGCCUCACCAACAACAGCCGCGCGGCCCGUGUGGCUUCGCCUCCCGCAACCCCGCGAUGCCGCCUCGCCCUUGUCCCCCGUCGCCUCACUGCCGCCUUCGUCCGCUGCUGUCCGCCUCCCGCUCGUGCCCGAGGACCGAGUGCCUCCACCUUGGCCCGGCAGCCCCACCUUGCUCAUGGUUUGCCGCUACCUAAACCAUCUCUGGCCAGGGCUCCUUCGCCUCCUUGCUGCUGCCACUCGAGGCCCUGGUGUUGCUUCGUUUUGGAUCGUCAAGACCGACUACACCUGCUGAUGCGUCAAGUACAUUGGAACGUCUGCCUAGUACGACUACAGGACCGGAACGCCAACUACGUGGAUACGCCAAGUUCUGCUUCGAACAUGUACGGCUACACGACGUCCCGUGAACGCCUACUUCCACUACCGUCGCGACGUGAACAACUACUUCCACUACGGCCGCGAGAAAGACUACUUCCACUAUGGCCCGUGUACCACUACUUCCUUCGUUGA